rnacentral:rRNA from 1 species
CCUACGGGAGGCAGCAGUGGGGAAUAUUGGGCAAUGGAGGCAACUCUGACCCAGCAACGCCGCGUGAAUGAUGAAGGUCUUCGGAUUGUAAAGUUCUGUGAUGGGGGAUGAACACAAUGACGGUACCCCAAUAGCAAGCCACGGCUAACUACGUGCCAGCAGCCGCGGUAAUACGUAGGUGGCAAGCGUUAUCCGGAAUGACUGGGCGUAAGGGGUGCGUAGGUGGUUUAGUAAGUUGGCGGUGAACUUCCGGGGCUAAACCUCGGCGCUACCGCCAAAACUAUUAGGCUAGAGUGCAGGAGGGGUAAGUGGAAUUCCUAGUGUAGCGGUGGAAUGCGUAGAUAUUAGGAGGAACAUCAGGGGCGAAGGCGACUUACUGGACUGUAACUGACACUGAGGCACGAAAGCGUGGGGAGCAAACAGGAUUAGAUACCCCUGUAGUC